rnacentral:rRNA from 1 species
UACGUAGGGUGCAAGCGUUGUCCGGAAUUAUUGGGCGUAAAGAGCUCGUAGGCGGUUUGUUGCGUCGGCUGUGAAAUCCCGAGGCUCAACCUCGGGUCUGCAGUCGAUACGAGCAAACUAGAGUGUUGCAGGGGAGACUGGAAUUCCUGGUGUAGCGGUGAAAUGCGCAGAUAUCAGGAGGAACACCGGUGGCGAAGGCGGGUCUCUGGGCCGAUACUGACGCUGAGGCGCGACAGCGUGGGGAGCAAACAGG